ACGCUCGACACCUACGGGAGGCAGCAGUGGGGAAUAUUGCACAAUGGGGGAAACCCUGAUGCAGCGACGCCGCGUGAAGGAAGAAGUAUUUCGGUAUGUAAACUUCUAUCAGCAGGGAAGAAACUGACGGUACCUGACUAAGAAGCACCGGCUAAAUACGUACCAGCAGCCGCGGUAAUCUGAGCGGGCUGGCAAGGC
rnacentral:rRNA from 1 species